rnacentral:rRNA from 1 species
GAUGAACGCUGGCGGCGUGCCUAAUACAUGCAAGUCGAGCGAACAGACGAGGAGCUUGCUCCUCUGACGUUAGCGGCGGACGGGUGAGUAACACGUGGAUAACCUACCUAUAAGACUGGGAUAACUUCGGGAAACCGGAGCUAAUACCGGAUAAUAUAUUGAACCGCAUGGUUCAAUAGUGAAAGACGGUUUUGCUGUCACUUCUAGAUGGAUCCGCGCCGCAUUAGCUAGUUGGUAAGGUAACGGCUUACCAAGGCAACGAUGCGUAGCCGACCUGAGAGGGUGAUCGGCCACACUGGAACUGAGACACGGUCCAGACUCCUACGGGAGGCAGCAGUAGGGAAUCUUCCGCAAUGGGCGAAAGCCUGACGGAGCAACGCCGCGUGAGUGAUGAAGGUCUUCGGAUCGUAAAACUCUGUUAUGAGGGAAGAACAAAUGUGUAAGUAACUAUGCACGUCUUGACGGUACCUAAUCAGAAAGCCACGGCUAACUACGUG